AUUUAUUUUUUCAUUUUCUUCUCCUCUUUCAUCUUUUUCAUUCAUUUAGUUCAUUGUUGAAGGUUUGAAGAAUUUUAUUAGCCUACAGUUGAUUGUUGAAGGUUUGAAGAAUUCUAUUAGCCUACAUUUAGUUGAUUGUUGAAGGUUUGAAGAAUUCUAUUAGCCUACAGGUAAAGUAAAUAAUUUUUAAUUUUAUUUUUUUCUUCUUUCAUACCAACUCAACUGUGGCUGAAGUUUGUUGUUGAUAUGAACAUGAUAUGCCCUUUUUUUCAUUUGGUUUUGGGGGUUUUCUGUUUUGUUUUGUUUUCUUUUAGCCUCUUCUCUUUUGAUUAAGAGUUUUGUAGUUUUGUUACCUUUUGUUUGAACCUUCAAAAUUGGGUUGGCCUCUUUUAAUUCACUUAUUGUUUUUUAAUUAGUUGAAUUUGUGUUAUGGGUUUUGUGAUUCCGCCUAAUCUCUGCGACAAAAUAAGAAAAGAAAAAAAAUUGGCAAAACUUGUAUAAGCGUUUGAUAUUUGGUGUUUUGGUAUCUUCUGUGAUUGAUGAUCUGCAUUUCUUUUUAUGGAUAUAAGUAGAUAACCAAUCUGGGCAUCGAUAUUAUUGUUUUGGUCGUAUAAGGUGGUCAUUCCUAACAAGGGCAAACUUAGAUGGUGUGUGUGCUCUUAAAUGUGGUUUAAAGUAUUAUGCAUAACCAUAAUGCAAAGACAAUUGCCUGCAUUCUUGCUUGAUUAGAAUCGAAAAGCAGGGUGAAGAAUAUUUGAGCUAAAUUUAGUCAUUUUGUGUGUAGGCUUGUUAGAUUGAUAUGUUUCUAUGAUAACUUAAGAUUACAUGCUUUAUGUGAGCUCUGUUUCUCUUUGUAUAGUCCAUACUAUAUAUGUUGGAAGUCGUAGAAUUUAAUUGAUUGAACUGAUUGUAUGAUAUCUUGGACGUGAAGGGAAGUUUUUGUGGCUUUUCAGGACCAUGCAUGCUUGUAUGAUCAUUGUGUUGUUGUGGGCUGUUAAAGUACUAAUGGAUUUUUUGAGGCUAGAAUGGACAAUAUGGAAUGAACUACUUUAACUGUUUAUUUUUAACAUGAUGAUAUUAUUAAUAACAUAUGUCUUUGUCGUUUUAUUGUUCCAGCUGAUGUUUCUUUGUUCGAUCAAAUAACCUCAAUAAUGAAAUGUUAGACAACUGGGAGAAAGGAUGUGAUUAUUUUUGCUUGUUUUAAAUUUACGUGUGUAGUUUGCAACUUUACCUUGAACUAAGCCAAUGUGAAAAUGAUCCAAAACAACUUUUAUUUUAUAGUGGCCCUGAUAAGAUAGCCAACUCAUUGGAAUUCUUGAUCUCUUUUCAAGCAUGUGAAUGUGGGUACAUUUUAUUCAUAUUGAAAAUAUUAGUGUGUCAUCUUGUUCAAGUUGUUGCUAAAUGUCAUGUGUGCCUUGGCUGCCUAUACGAUGAAUUGAAUUAUACAACGUCUUAAGUUUUGUUGCAUGUUGGUAGGGACCUUUUUAUUUUUGUUCAUUUCAAAUUUACAAUGGUUGAGAGGCAUGUUCAUAUACAAAUGUCCAUGUCUUCAUUGGUGAAAUGUAGUCUUUUUCGCCAACAUUGGAUUAAGUAAUCCAAUAACAAAGAUAUUAGUGCUCUUUAAUAAUUACGCAAUUAACUAAAUGAACAAUUUCUCACACACGUAUUUUUACGUGGUUCAGUAGUUAAAAACUCACCUAGUCCACGAGAUAAUAUUAUUAAUCUCUUACAAUUUCUGCAGAGUUUGUGUUCUUAAAAAGCAGUCCAUUAUCCCUGAUAUUUAUAGUGAACUUGGACAGGUUUGGGUAACUGCGUGCAUAAAUAUGAUAAACAAUCAAUCAUGAUAAUUCCCAUUUACAUAGGGAUAUAAUUUCCUAUGGAAAUUACAUUCGAUAUCUCAAGCAAUAAAUAUGUAAUACAACCUGGGCAUUAACGAGGGUAUAAGGAAUCUCCAUGUCUUUCGGGAUCCUUCACUGUGCGUCAUAAUCAGGUUUCCACGAGCUGAACAUCUUCCUCGAGCUGGAGAUUGAAGAGUGAGCAAACUUUAGUUUGUAUCAAGUUUAGAGCAUCCAGAAGGAGACCUAGCCAUUACCUGUCUCGAAGAAAGUUAUUGUCCUGAAAGGCGAUCUGGAGAUUAUCUGCAUGACGCACUGUCAGGUCUUAACUCGAGUUGCCCACACCAAAGUUAACUAGAUGUUCUGCUCGCCCGCUUUCUCUAUGUGUUUAUCUUAGCUGAAUGAUUAAAUCCAUACUUAUUUUAAGGUACAACAUUUGCCCUCUAAGCUCUUGCUCGUGCAUGAAGACACUUUCGACAUGCACAGUAGGGGUUUUUAGGCUUCUGUUGUGUGAAAUUGUGCUUGCCCACUACUCAAGUGUGAAACAUGUGGCCGUCUAUAAUUGGCGUUUGUUCGGGUUUCGAGGACUGUGACAACUAUCCUAUCAACUUUUUGCCGCCGCAGGGGUCAUUUAUUAAUCUUGGCCUUUUGGAUCCUGAGCUGACUCGAUCAAAUGGCCCAGAUUAAUUCCCGAAACUUACGUCUAAAUAGGAAAAUCGAGCUUGAACUUCACCACAUUCACAUUCAAAAAGUUUCCUUUCAAAACAAAACUUCCUUUUUUCUCUCAGACCUCUUUCAAAAACCCUUGCCAUCCUACCAUUCUUCAGAAGCUUUCAAGCUCCUGCAUUUGGAACCACCAACAUCCCCGUCAAGUAAACAUAUAAAUUGUAAGUAUCUCUUCAUCUGGUUUAAAUCUUUCAUUCUUUAUUUUCCAAUAAGUUCCUUUUACUUCAAAUUUUUUCCAGUACCAUCUCAUAUUUUAACCAUGUCCUAGUUCAAUAGGGGUUUGCUUAGGCUAAAAGAACAAUAUUAGGCUCGUUUAUAAAUGAGAUGUGUGAAAAAUGGGCAAUUUUUUGGUUUUGAAAGGAUGUGAUUUUUUACGAAUCGCUUAGGUUAUAUGUUUAUGCAUAGAAGUAUAAGGGUUUUAGGUUUGGCUCUAAGUAGCUUAAGGGUCACGAUUCCUUGAGUGAUUUUGCAUUAAACCGCUUUCAAAAAGGUGACGGGCCUGACAUGCGAAUCCCAAAGCAUCAGGGAUUUUUCGUAGUCUAUAGCACAUGGCUAAAGACUACACGUGGAAACACGUGUUUGUGUUAGGGUAUAUCUUAGCUUGCGUAUAUCUUAAACUAAAUAAAAUGAAUUUAAACCCCAAGGUCACGGUACCUUUGUCGCUGUAGAUAAACUUUAUUUUAGGUCGCCACUAAUAGGCUGCUUUGUCGUCAGACGAGCUAGAUCAUGGCUCAUCAAUAGAAAAACGUCUCGAGCUCCUCUUCCCAAAACAAGAGCAAGGGCAAGAAGGUCACGCCUUACACCCCCAUUCCCCACUCUGGCCCGGUGGUGGACAAGAAGAUUGUAGUCGGCCUUGACGCCUUUUUCAAGGUUGAGCACAUCGUGUCUCAAAUAAUGACUCAAGGUAAAGUGAAUAAGAUCUUGCUGAGCCACGAGAUUGAAAUGGGGCCCGACGGCCUUAUUGCCUGACCUCCGCUGGAAGGAGAGCAGAGCAGCGCGCCCCUUCAGGAUGACUUCAAGGCCUGGAGUGAUGAGCAUCUGAAGGCAGGUGCUUUCCUCCCUUUGGACCAGUACUUCAAUGACUUUUUACACUACGUCUAACUGGCUCCAUUCCAGCACCUCCAAACUCAUACUGACUAUUGGCAGAGCUUAAAUCCUUAUUUUUAAAGCACGAGUGGGAGGUCCCAACGCUGGCCGACAGUAUGUAUUUCUUCUGCCCCAAAUCCAACUCUGAGGAGAAGGGGCGAGGUGACGGUUUCUACUACCUCACUCGAUUUCCCAACGCGGCCUCCGUCAUCGACCUCCCCAGCCACCCAAAUGACUAUAAAGAUAAAAUAUUUAUGUCAAAUGUGUUCAAGAACUACACUCACCAAUACUUCAACCAUCCUCGUAAGUUUCUUAACUCUCCGAACUCCAUACAUGAAUUCCUUUUUUAUUGAGUUUAACCUUCCUAACCGAGUUUAUUCUUUGUGUAACUAUAUUCAAGAGGACAGGACGAUCUGGGGACCUUUGGAGGUCAGUACGAGACACUGUCUCGUAUUCCUUCGAAGAAGGAGUUCCGAAUAGUAGUGAACAAUGCUACCAUGGUGGCCUGCAAGCUGAUCCGUAAAGAUCAAACACUGGCCAUUGGAUCUCGAGGUCCGCCCCCCGAGCUUCCUCCUCCUCAAGAAGUCCUCCCCGCUGUUGAAGACAUAGAAGAGGAAGAGGAGGUCUCGCCACUGGUGCGCAAGAGAAGAGCUCCUGAAGAUGGGCAACAUCUGGACCAGGACCGAGCUGAGUCGGGGGCAGCAGCCGGCAUUUCCGACCAAGGUAACCCCUAUAGAGAAUUAAAAUGGGUUGCUGCCGGUUUUAGGCUAAUCCGAUUCAACCCACGCCAGCUCGUGAGUCAACAUCCAGUUGACCCAGACCUGAACACAAAUCUCCUCCAAUGUGUGAAUCAUCUGGUGGUAUGCUACGACCAUAGCUAUCCCAUAUCACUAUUGUGGUAGACAAUACCCUCCACUUUAGGUCCACUAUUUUUUAGGAGUAUGGUAUGAAUCGUAGGACAUGGCCUUCCCUAUGUCAAGGCAUAUUUUUCCCCGAUUUUAGGUAGACGGUAGAUGAGUCCAACUCGGAAGAAGAGGUUGAACCCCAUAGGACCCAUGGUGUAAUAAUACUAGAGUCCCCCUCUCCCCUGGUAGUCCAGGAGUUAUAACGUUUACCCAAUUCGGUUCGUAACCCUGAGCUGAUCAUAAUAGUUUCCUCUUCUAGCUCGGAGGGUAGGGUCCUUGCUUUAUUCUUUUCCUUGCAUUAUUUUGGUUAAUUAUUUCUUGUAUAUGAAUUUUCUACUCGUCCAUUUGCAUGUGAAGAGAUGGAUUUGAAGGGUGCCUUUAAAGUUGGUGGGGUGAGAGUUGGAUCCGUGAUUAAAAGGGCUAGAAUAUCAAAGAAAAAUACUUCCAAGUCUGGAACAUCCACCGAAUCUCCUGUCAAAGAUAAAGGUGCCAGCUCCACCUAGGAACAACAACAGCAAACUCAGCCCCCAGCUCUGGCAGCGACAGUUACCAUUCUUGAGGUUCCUCCUCCUCUUCCUCGACAUGCACCUGCUUUGGUUCCUCAGGUUACUCGGGGUGAGUCCCCUUCGUUCACAUCCUAGUAAAACCACUCGAGCUGGUAAGGAUCCCAGAAGAAUUUUGAGGGACUGUAUAUGAGAUGGCGAACCAUAUGGUGGGCCACGCAUAUAGAGCCAAUGUUAAGGACCUGAGGGCUAUGGAGGAGCAUUCUCCUGAAGAUGUUCUAGAGUUCUCCAUGGGAAUGAACCUCACUGUGAAUAACCUUCAUUCCUCUUAUAAUACUUCUUUUUCUUUUGUUUUUUUUAACUAACCCUGACCUGCAUUUUCUCUUUGCAGUCUGUUCUGGCUCAACUCCAUAGCAUCGCCCGAUCCCGAGCUAGGAAAGAGGAGCUCAAAGCCUCCCUGGCCGCGUCCUAGGAGAAUGAGCGGACUGCUAAGGUCGCCCUGGCCACUUCCCAGGACAGUGAGCGAAUUUCUAAGGACCAGGUGGUGGAGGUGAGCCAGCGACGAGAUCAUUUGCAGGCUGAGGUUGACAACCUUAAUAAGAAGCUCGAAGAGGUUCAGGUGCUCAAGAACAAGCUUUCUGAGGUUGAGGACAAAGCUAAGGAGGAGAUAACAAAGUCAACGAACGCCCUGGAGGAGAUGCUCUACUGGUGUGGGGUUUAUAACAAGGAAGGGGAUUUCUCCUUUAUGGUGUCGGAGCUCUGGGGGCCUUAUAUUGCCAAGUUUCGGAGUCGACUCUUACAAGAGCUUUCUGAGAUCGCAGAUGCUACCGGAGCUACUGAAGGGGACGACGAGGAUGUGACAUGACUCGAGCAAGUUGACGGAGCUCAGUGAUGCUUUUAUUCUGUUUAUUUUACUUUCUUUGUCCUGUAAUUAGGUUCUCAAAGACUGAAACAAUCGCCUUUGGGCUUAGAUCGAUGUUUUUUCUCCUCAAGAUAACUAAAUAAUUUUUAGUACAUUUUGUUAAUUUGUGAUUUAUUUUUAUUCCC